GCUCCUUUGGCGCAAUGGCAGCGCGUAAGUUUUCUAACAAAACAGAUUCAAAAUUGCUCUUGGUAACUCAUCUUCUUAGGCAAGACUUCUAAUCUUGAGGCUGCGAGUUCGAGUCUCGCAAGGAGUG